GUGAGGAAUAUUGGACAAUGGGCGCAAGCCUGAUCCAGCAAUGCCGCGUGCAGGAAGAAGGCCUUCGGGUUGUAAACUGCUUUUGUACGGAACGAAACGGUCCUGGCUAAUACCCGGGGCUAAUGACGGUACCGUAAGAAUAAGCACCGGCUAACUACGUGCCAGCAGCCGCGGUAAUACGUAGGGUGCGAGCGUUAAUCGGAAUUACUGGGCGUAAAGCGUGCGCAGGCGGUGCUGUAAGACAGGCGUGAAAUCCCCGGGCUCAACCUGGGAAUUGCGCUUGUGACUGCAGUGCUGGAGUGCGGCAGAGGGGGAUGGAAUUCCGCGUGUAGCAGUGAAAUGCGUAGAUAUGCGGAGGAACACCGAUGGCGAAGGCAAUCCCCUGGGCCUGCACUGACGCUCAUGCACGAAAGCGUGGGGAGCAAACAGGAUUAGAAACCCUGGUAGUCC
rnacentral:rRNA from 1 species